rnacentral:misc_RNA from 1 species
AAGUCGUAACAAGGUUUCCGUAGGUGAACCUGCGGAAGGAUCAUUAAAAGUAAUUGGUUAUACAUAUCCUGUAUCAACUGCACAAACCCAUUCCGAGUACCUUGCCUGUUGCUUCCAUGGGGCCUGACUUUGGUCACUCUUGUGAUGCGAAUCCCAAGAGAGUCCCCAUGGGGGUAAGUCAAUUGAAACUCAUAGAUCCAAUGAUCAUUCUGUCUUCGAAAUGAUUGAAAAAUAAACCAAAAUGUUUAAAAAACC